UAGCGCGUGGGCAACCUGCCUUACACAGGGGGAUAACACUUAGAAAUAGGUGCUAAUACCGCAUAAGCGCACAGCUUUGCAUGAAGCAGUGUGAAAAACUCCGGUGGUGUAAGAUGGACCCGCGUCUGAUUAGCUGGUUGGCAGGGUAAAGGCCUACCAAGGCGACGAUCAGUAGCCGGCCUGAGAGGGUGAACGGCCACAUUGGGACUGAGACACGGCCCAGACUCCUACGGGAGGCAGCAG
rnacentral:rRNA from 1 species